GUGCUUGCUUCAGCAGCACAUACACUAGAAUUGGAACGAUACAGAGAUUUGCAUGGCCCCAGUGCAAGGAUGACACGCAAAUUUGUGAAGUGUUCCAUAUUUUU
ensembl:snRNA U6 U6 spliceosomal RNA